rnacentral:rRNA from 1 species
AACCGGAUUAGAUACCCUGGUAGUCCACGCCCUAAACGAUGUCAACUAGUUGUUGGGUCUUCAUUGACUUAGUAACGUAGCUAACGCGUGAAGUUGACCGCCUGGGGAGUACGGUCGCAAGAUUAAAACUCAAAGGAAUUGACGGGGACCCGCACAAGCGGUGGAUGAUGUGGAUUAAUUCGAUGCAACGCGAAAAACCUUACCUACCCUUGACAUGGUCGGAACCCUGCUGAAAGGUGGGGGUGCUCGAAAGAGAACCGAUACACAGGUGCUGCGUGGCUGUCGUCAGCUCGUGUCGUGAGAUGUUGGGUUAAGUCCCGCAACGAGCGCAACCCUUGUCCUUAGUUGCUACGCAAGAGCACUCUAAGGAGACUGCCGGUGACAAACCGGAGGAAGGUGGGGAUGACGUCAAGUCCUCAUGGCCCUUAUGGGUAGGGCUUCACACGUCAUACAAUGGUUGGAACAGAGGGCUGCCAACCCGUGAGGGGGAGCUAAUCCCAGAAAACCGAUCGUAGUCCGGAUCGUAGUCUGCAACUCGACUACGUGAAGCUGGAAUCGCUAGUAAUCGCGGAUCAGCAUGCCGCGGUGAAUACGUUCCCGGGUCUUGUACACACCGCCCGUCACACCAUGGGAGUGGGUUUUACCAGAAGUGGCUAGUCUAACCGCAAGGAGGACGGUCACCACGGUAGGAUUCAUGACUGGGGUGAAGUCGUAACAAGGUAACCGUAA